GAUCCUUCUUGGUUGGGAAAGAUCUUGAGGAUCAUCAAGUCCCAACCGUAGCUCGACUCGUGUUGAGUCUUGGGCUGGAUCAUGUUCCUCAGCGGCAUCUUCAGGGCUUUGCAACCCCACUCGGGAGGGGAGAAGCCUUCUCCUGUCCUGGGGGAAGGUUGCCAGACCCUGCUCCAAGGCAGCAGCUGAGCCCAAAUGAUGUUCUUGUCCCUCUGGUGCUGGGACCCGAGGGGAGCACAGGUCCCGUGGGGCUCUGAGGGGCCAGAGCCACCCCCCCCCCAGGUGGACCCGAGUCCAUCAUCUCACCACGAGAACCCUUCUCUACCUUCAGGCCCCCAAAGUCUUAGUGACCCCAGCCCUGUUCUCAGCCUGGACCAGGCUUUCCCAUCCACCUCCUGGGAGCAGGGAUCCCACCACUUGGCUGCUCAAGAAACUCUCCAGAGCUUCAGCAGCACCUGCUGGAUUUUACCCUCCUGCUGGGGUCUGCAGAGGACCUUUGGUGGCUGGAAGGAGCCCACCUUGAAGCCCAGCUCCUCCUGCAAGCCCUGUCGUGCAGGUUUUUUGCAUUUUCACAAUCUGGCCUCAAGAUGUGGGCAGGACGGAAGCGGCGCCUCAAAGGCUCCCGGGGCUGAGCCUGGAGGCCUCCUCAGAUCCACCUCCCUGGAGCUGCUGAACCUGCACCUUCCCAGCUGCUCGUUAAAAAACAAUCAUUAACAAGAAAAAAAAAAAAGAGAAGAAAAAUCCCCCAAAUUCCAUGUCAAGGACUGCGACGUCCUGGUGGGAGCAGGAUGGAGCUGGUUGCCACCAUGGGCUGGUGGGCUGGGUUUGGACACCAGGGUUGGGGUCGAGCUGCUGGAGGAGCCAGGAGCUGGAGGUUUGGAGACCGACCAAGGGAGUAAAACGGUUCAAGAUGGUUCCAACGUUGAACGAGGAGGCUGAAAAUCGUCCGGGUUGAGGAGGAGGAUCCAGGAAGAGCUUUUGGAGACGUGAUUUCUGGAGAGCUGGUGAGGUGCAGCCCCCGGGAGCUUGGCAGAGAGGUUGUGGAAGGGGGUCCUGGCACCUCCCAGGAGGGGAAUUUGCAGUUUGGAGGUGGCUGGGAGGGCUCAGGUCUUCUCCUGGACCAGCCCAAGCUGGAGCUGAACUGGCCUGGCAGCAGCUUCUCGUGGAAAGGUCGUUGUUGGUUUUCUUCCUCAACCAGGAAUGAAAGGGGAAAGAGCUGAAGAAAGGGCUGAAAAGCCCAGAUUGGAUGGAAAUAAUCGUUGUGGAGUAAAACCAGGACAGCAAAGGGAGGCAGGGGGUGCCCUUCCCCACCUCCUGAGCUCUGGGAUCCUCCACCAGGUCCUGGUUCUUGACGUGGCUGGAAACAUCUCGCCCAGCCAGGACGUGUCUUCCUGGCCCAGAGCUGCUUGACACAGCUCGGUGGUUUCAGGGCCCUGGUGGGGGAGAAUUUAUUCUGGGAAUCACGACAUGAAACAUCUUGCGGGUUGGUGGCUCAGGCCCCAAGUUCCAGAGCUCCAAAAAACAACCCUCAAAAAUGCACCGUUUCUGUCCCAUCUGCCUGGGGUGGGUUUGGUUGUGCAGAGUUUGGGAUGGGCCCCCCCA